rnacentral:rRNA from 1 species
AUUGAACGCUGGCGGCAGGCUUAACACAUGCAAGUCGAGCGGAGACUUCGGUCUUAGCGGCGAACGGGUGAGUAAUACCUAGGAAUCUGCCUAUUAGUGGGGGAUAACGAAUCGAAAGGUUCGCUAAUACCGCAUACGUCCUACGGGAGAAAGGGGGGAGUCUUCGGACCUCUCGCUAAUAGAUGAGCCUAGGCCGGAUUAGCUAGUUGGUAGGGUAAAGGCCUACCAAGGCGACGAUCUGUAGCUGGUCUGAGAGGAUGGCCAGCCACACUGGAACUGAGACACGGUCCAGACUCCUACGGGAGGCAGCAGUGGGGGAAUAUUGGACAAUGGGGGCGAACCCUGAUCCAGCCAUGCCGCGUGUGUGAAGAAGGCCUCGGUUGG